rnacentral:lncRNA from 1 species
CCAUGUUCAGCUUCCUCAUGCUCGUACUUAGCUCGUUUCGGCAGCUUUGACGUCCAAUUAUGCUCCAAUUCUUUCCUUUUUCAUUCUUUGACUUCUUUUGGACCUAAUGCACACAAACAUACGCAUAGGGUGAGUGUUGGUACCAAUUCACAUCCAAAUAUCCAUAAAAUUGAUCUUAAAAACCCCAUUUAGAUGUGUGUAUUUU